GGCUGGGAUCAGUCCCUGGCACACAGGAAUUGUCACAGAGGGUCAGUCCCUGGCACAGGGGGUGGUCACAGAGGCUGGGAUCAGCCCCUGGCACCCCUGGUGUGCCACACCCUGGCCCACAGGUACCAAACUGGCUGUACAGGUUCCCAGGAGCUGGAGCACCCAUCUGCAGGGGCAGGUCCUUGAAAUUCCUCCUGGAAGCACUGCUGACUCCUGGAAUGCUGCUGGGUCAUUCCCCUGUAUGACGUGGUCCCCAGGGACAACAGGGCUGCCACAUCAGCUGGAAUUUUAUUCUGACCCCAUAGAUUAAAUGCACAGGACCA